UCUAUCUAUCUAUUUAUUUAUCUAUCUAUCUCUCUUUUAAAAACGUGCGUCCAAAUAAAUUUGGUGAUUUGCGUGUUGAAUAAUGUGCGUUUAUGCCUAAUAUUGUGAAGUGCGUUUGGAGAGAAAAGGAAAUGAAUGAAUUAAAAAAAGAAAAAAAAAAAAAGAAAAGAAGAAAAAAGAAAGAAGAAGAACAAGUAGAACAAGAAGAAAACAGCGUUCGAAAGAACGCCGGAAGGGUUGGAAGGGUAUAGGGAUGGUGGUGAGGAGAGAUGACGAGAGGGGGAGAGAGAGAGAGAGAGAGAGAGAGAGAAAGAGAGAGAG